UGCCUUGUCAUCGUCAUCGUAAGCCGGU
rnacentral:sRNA from 1 species